rnacentral:rRNA from 1 species
AUUGAACGCUGGCGGCAGGCCUAACACAUGCAAGUCGAGCGGAAACGAUGGGAGCUUGCUCCCAGGCGUCGAGCGGCGGACGGGUGAGUAACACGUGGGAAUCUGCCCAUUAGUGGGGGAUAACUCGGGGAAACUCGAGCUAAUACCGCAUAAUCCCUACGGGGGAAAGCAGGGGAUCUUCGGACCUUGCGCUGAUGGAUGAGCCCGCGUCGGAUUAGCUUGUUGGUGGGGUAAUGGCCCACCAAGGCGACGAUCCGUAACUGGUCUGAGAGGAUGGCCAGUCACACCGGGACUGAGACACGGCCCGGACUCCUACGGGAGGCAGCAGUGGGGAAUCUUGGACAAUGGGCGCAAGCCUGAUCCAGCCAUGCCGCGUGUGUGAAGAAGGCCUUCGGGUUGUAAAGCACUUUCAGUAGGGAGGAAGGCUUUGGGCU